CCAAAAAACAUGAAAAUUGUAACAGUUUGUGUAGUUAGUGAGUGAGUAGUGAGUUAGUGCGAUUUGAAAUACAGUGAAAAUGAAUAAAUACUAUGUCAACUCAGUCGGAAAUUCAUUUUAACAGAUUAAACAAAAUGGAGAUAAGAAGGAAACAUCGUGGGACCUUCAAGAUGGAACCCGUUCCAGAGAAGGGGAUCUUCACUGUCAACUAUGUUGGAAGCAGUGACGAGCCGCACGGAGACGUCAUAUCACCUGGAGUACAUGGCGUUUUUAGACAGAAAUCAUUUGGAGCAUGCGAUCGCCAAUUAACCACAUUAACUUCGUACGCAAAAGCUGCUCGGCUGUCGAUUGGAACAGCGGCUGUAGGAAUCGGAAAUUUAUUCAAUCGCAAGAUGGCGGCCAGUGUGAAUGCUUCAUGUCCGUGGCCAAAUAGUGAAAAUGAUUACGAAUUACGGGAUGUUAUUGGCGUGGGAGCCACAGCUGUUGUUUAUGGGGCUUUUUGUAAACCUCGGAGUGAAAAAUGUGCCAUUAAAAGAAUUAAUUUAGAGAAAUGGAAUACAUCCAUGGAUGAACUUCUGAAAGAAAUCCAGGCCAUGUCAAGCUGUAAUCAUGAAAAUGUAGUAACAUACUACACUAGUUUUGUUGUAAAUGACGAGCUAUGGCUUGUGCUCAGGCUCUUAGAAGGUGGGAGUUUAUUAGAUGUUAUCAAACAUAAAAUGAAAGUUUCCAACUGUAAACAUGGAGUAUUUGAUGAGGCCACCAUUGCCACUGUCCUCAAAGAAGUAUUAAAAGGCCUAGAAUAUUUUCACAGUAACGGACAGAUCCAUAGGGAUAUAAAGGCUGGAAACAUUCUAUUAGGAGAAGAUGGGACUGUCCAAAUUGCUGAUUUUGGUGUGUCUGCUUGGUUGGCCACUGGAAGAGAUCUGUCCAGGCAAAAAGUGCGCCAUACAUUUGUUGGAACUCCAUGUUGGAUGGCGCCAGAAGUUAUGGAACAGGAUCACGGAUAUGAUUUCAAAGCAGAUAUCUGGUCAUUUGGUAUAACUGCGAUUGAAAUGGCGACAGGCACUGCACCUUACCAUAAAUAUCCACCGAUGAAAGUGUUGAUGCUCACAUUACAAAAUGAUCCACCAAAUUUAGACACGGGAGCCGAUGAGAAGGAACAAUAUAAGGCCUAUGGCAAAACUUUUAGAAAAAUGAUCGUAGAUUGUUUGCAAAAAGAUCCUUCAAAGCGGCCUACAGCUACUGAGUUACUAAAACAUCCAUUCUUCAAAAAAGCAAAAGACAGGAAAUAUCUAACACAGACUCUAGUUGCUAUUGGGCCUAGCAUGGAGACAAGAGUCCAUAAGGCGAGCAAACGUCAACCGGGAGCCUCUGGCCGUUUGCACCGCACGCUGACCGGAGGAUGGGUUUGGAGCGAGGAGGAAGAGGAGGCAGCCGAGGCCCAGGAUUCUGACGAGGACUCCUCGGUAGGAGAGGACAAGAGGCCCAUGAAUCAGCUGCAGCGGGCCGAAUCCAGCGGCAGUGAUAAUGACGAGGAACCAAGCGAGAGUAAAGAACCUAAGAAGCCUAUAGAAGAAGCUAGGCCAGCUGACCAAAAUGGACCUCAAGUCAUUAAUCUAGUUCUUCGUUUGAGGAACGCCCGCCGUGAGCUGAACGACAUUCGCUUCGAGUUCAUAAUGGGCAAGGACUCCGCAGAAGGUAUCGCCACCGAGCUGGUUGGAGCGGGCCUGGUGGACCCUCACGACUCUGUGCCUAUCUCGCUGAACCUCGCAAAGCUGCUGGAUGCCCAGGUCCAGGCAUUGACCACCCCUCCCAAGGCUGUCACAUUCCAUUUGUGAUUGCACUCGACGAACCAUGCGUCAGGCAAGGCGGCAUCUGCAUGGAGCGGUCCAAGUGCGAGAGCGUGGUUGGCUUCAAUCGGGGGAACCUGUGUCCGGCAUUCCCUGCACAUUUGGGGCUCGCGUGUUGUUACUAUUAAUGAAGUAAUUGCCAGAAAAGGAGGAGCCAAAUGAUUAUGUAUUUUAAUUUAACAGCUAGUUACACGCAUUAGUUUUACAAAUGUUUAAGAUAAUGGCUACUGUUAUUUAAUAUUAAGGACUGAACAUUGUAGAGUUUCAAAAAUGAUGUCAUUUAAGUUUUUGUUAUUCACUGUGUUUACUUAAUACAUUAUGAUUGUUAAUUAGAGAGAAGAAAUUGCAUCGGCUUUGACCAAAAAUUACCAGUGUACCAUUUUUCUCACUAGAGUCAAGUUUUUAAACAUAACCAAGAUUAUACUAAAAACUUUUAAAUAUUUUCAAAUAAAAUUUCGAUUUGGUAAGUGCAAGCAGUAAAACAUAGAAUAAUAAUUUUAUCAUUUAUUAAAGUUUUACCGCACAAGCACUCAAUAAUUUACAAUAUUAUUAAAAAUUGCAACUAUACUGUACUUGUACAAAAUUUCACUGUAAGUAGAGCCAUUAAACUAAAAAAAUCCUUCUUGGAACUGGUAACGUUUUCCUGAAAUAUUGAACCAAAUAGGUAGACUAAUUACCAAUCAUUCUGUUUAGUCUGUGUUAUUCUAAAUUUAAGUUAAUUAUGCUGGAUUUCUAUAUUCAAUCCUAAUUCAAAUUAUACGGAUUUGGAUUGUCAACUGUCAAAUUUUAAUAUGUAUUUGGCCAAAAUAACUGCGGUUUUUGAUGUUUUUACAUUUUUAUAUUGUUUAUAAGACUAUUUAAACAAUAUUAAAGUGUAAAUGCAUCGAACAUUUUGGAAAUAUAAUCUAAAACUGAAUUCAAUUUGACAGUUGUAAUCCGAAUUUGGACAAGGAUUGAAUAUGGGAAUCGGGCGUUAGAUGAUACCCAUCGUAUUUAAAAUGUAAAAAGCCGUCUAUAAUAAAUUAUGUUGUUUAAUGUUUUAUAGUACAUUUUAAUUCUUCAUACAUUUCAGUAACAUUCUUAAGAUAAAUAAAUUGACACAUUACAGAACUACACCAUAAUAAUUCGCUUUUCCUAUCUCUUGAAAAGGGGAAAACUUUGCAUGAGGAAUCCAUAAUUUGUUAAAGUAUUAUGAAUCAUUUUGAGACAAUAUUACAAGUCUUUCGAAACAUUUUAGAUUUAUUUUUUUUGCGAUGUUCUUACAAUUGGGUUUAGUUUAAUUGUAAGUUUAUUGAUGAAAAAUAAGUCUGUUGCAAAAGAAAUAAAUAUAAAAACAUGUAAGCAGAAGUAUGAUGUAUGUAGUCAUACUUCUGCUUACAUAUUUUUAUACAGGGUGUCCCAAGAAGUAGUGUCAAGCCGAAGCCCAGAGGUUAGAGCCUUGUCACCCCCAUGUAUGUUCCGCGAUUUUUAAUAUUUCCCGAAUUAUGAUUGUUUUAAAUUUCUGCGCUCAGGCACAGUUUUGGUCACUGUGCUGGCGCGAAUAGUCAAUGCCUGAUUUUUUAUUAUUAUUAGACGAAUACUAGGCCUAGUUGAUUCAGAUUCUGAAUUUCAGAAGUAUUUACAUCCAUAAUACGAAUGUAAACUAUAAUCCUGUAUGUUGUAAAAUAAAAUCAUAACUCGAAA